UACGAAGGGGGCUAGCGUUGCUCGGAAUUACUGGGCGUAAAGCGCACGUAGGCGGAUUGUUAAGUCGGGGGUGAAAUCCUGGAGCUCAACUCCAGAACUGCCUUCGAUACUGGCGAUCUCGAGUUCGGGAGAGGUGAGUGGAACUGCGAGUGUAGAGGUGAAAUUCGUAGAUAUUCGCAAGAACACCAGUGGCGAAGGCGGCUCACUGGCCGUA
rnacentral:rRNA from 1 species